rnacentral:rRNA from 1 species
UACGGGGGGGGCAAGCGUUGUUCGGAAUUACUGGGCGUAAAGGGUUCGUAGGUGGCCAACUAAGUCAGACGUGAAAUCCCUCAGCUCAACUGGGGAACUGCGUCUGAUACUGGUCGGCUUGAGUGCAGGAGAGGAACGCGGAAUUCCAGGUGUAGCGGUGAAAUGCGUAGAUAUCUGGAGGAACACCGGUGGUGUAGACGGCUUUCUGGACCGUAACUGACGCUGAGACACGAAAGCGUGGGUAGCAAACAGG